rnacentral:rRNA from 1 species
CAAAACGACUCUCGGCAACGGAUAUCUCGGCUCUCGCAUCGAUGAAGAACGUAGCGAAAUGCGAUACUUGGUGUGAAUUGCAGAAUCCCGUGAACCAUCGAGUCUUUGAACGCAAGUUGCGCCCAAAGCCUUUUGGUUGAGGGCACGCCUGCCUGGG